UCCCUAGUAGCUCAGAUAGUAAAGCAUCUGACUGCAAUGCAGGAGGCCCGGGUUCGAUCCCUGGGUUGGGAA
rnacentral:tRNA from 1 species